UACGAAGGGGGCUAGCGUUGCUCGGAAUCACUGGGCGUAAAGCGCACGUAGGCGGAUUGCUAAGUCAGGGGUGAAAUCCUGGAGCUCAACUCCAGAACUGCCUUUGAUACUGGCGAUCUUGAGUCCGGGAGAGGUGAGUGGAACUGCGAGUGUAGAGGUGAAAUUCGUAGAUAUUCGCAAGAACACCAGUGGCGAAGGCGGCUCACUGGCCCGGUACUGACGCUGAGGUGCGAAAGCGUGGGUAGCAAACAGG
rnacentral:rRNA from 1 species